ACCAUGAUGCUGAGGCUGUGUUGAUCCUAUGAUUGAUUUUAAUGAUUAUCAAAUUUUAAGUAAUUAUAAAUCUAACCAUGUAUUUCAAGAAUAAAUGUAGGUCUUUUCAGAUGUUUAAAUUGAACAAAAAAAAUAUGAAAAAGAUCUUCUCAAAAUUCACUAAGUCAAAAUCUUCAAAGAAGAAAAAUUCAAGUUUAGACUUAGUGGAGUCGACCCC
rnacentral:lncRNA from 1 species